GAGUGGUUCAUCCCUGUCAGUUUGAUGAGCAUUGCGAGCAUGGGACAGCGAUCUAUAUCCCGUGACAUAUACACGAGAUUGAGGGUGAACAUAUCUGGAAAUUCUACAACGAGAGGAACCUGCUCACCAAUAAAGUGCGGCAUUGUUCGGCUUGAUUCUUGUGUCGGACGUCGCGCUCAUGCCUCUUCCUGUGACGACACUGAUCAAUCAGUGGCCGGCAGUCUGAAGACGUCACUCAGCUCGCUUGGAACGUCGCCCUGAGCAGUGGAAGAAGCUACUCCUUGCCCCUGCUGUGGCUGCUUGCCUUUAUGGCUUUUGUCUUGGCUUGUAGCGUGUGACUGUGCUGCCAAACUUGGCGGGUUUUCAGCCCUCAGUGGUUAAAUCAACUGACAGCUCUGAUGUUGCGUGAAAAGCAGGUUCUACUGAUGAGGGCUGCGGAUGGGUGGAAUUUUGGCAACAGGACUGUGAAGACAUACCAGCUCUAUGGGAGCUCCGUGUUAUUCAAUGGCGUUCACUUUGAACUCAGUGCAUGAAAUCAACACAUGCAUCAAUAAAUCAUGUCUCACCACAAA